CGAACGCUGGCGGCAGGCCUAAUACAUGCAAGUCGAACGGCUCUUCGGAGCAGUGGCGGACGGGUGAGUAACGCGUGGGAAUGUGCCCUUAGGUACGGAACAACACAGGGAAACUUGUGCUAAUGCCGUAUGUGCCCUUCGGGGGAAAGAUUUAUCGCCUUUGGAGCAGCCCGCGUUGGGUUAGGUAGUUGGUGAGGUAAAGGCUCACCAAGCCGACGAUCCAUAGCUGGUCUGAGAGGAUGACCAGCCACACUGGGACUGAGACACGGCCCAGACUCCUACGGGAGGCAGCAGUAGGGAAUCUUGCGCAAUGGGCGAAAGCCUGACGCAGCCAUGCCGCGUGUAUGAUGAAGGUCUUAGGAUUGUAAAAUACUUUCACCGGGGAAGAUAAUGACGGUACCCGGAGAAGAAGCCCCGGCUAACUUCGUGCCAGCAGCCGCCGUAAUAC
rnacentral:rRNA from 1 species